rnacentral:rRNA from 1 species
AGAUUGAACGCUGGCGGAAUGCUUUACACAUGCAAGUCGAGCGGCAGCGCGGGGCAACCUGGCGGCGAGCGGCGAACGGGUGAGUAAUGCAUCGGAACGUGUCCAUUCGUGGGGGAUAGCCCGGCGAAAGCCGGAUUAAUACCGCAUACGCCCUUCGGGGGAAAGCGGGGGACUUCGCAAGAGGCCUCGCGCGAUUGGUUCGGCCGAUGUCCGAUUAGCUAGUUGGUGGGUAAAGGCUCACCAAGGCGAUGAUCGGUAGCUGGUCUGAGAGGAUGAUCAGCCACACUGGACUGAGACACGGCCCAGACUCCUACGGGAGGCAGCAGUGGGGAAUUUGGACAAGUGGGGGCAACCCGUUGACUCCGAGCCAGUUCCGCGUUGAGUGAAGAAGGCCUUCGGGUUAGUAAGUACUCUUUUAGUACCGGAACGAAACGGUAGAACGUGAAUAUCGUACGACUACGUAGACGGUACCGGAAGAACGUAAGCGACCG